UCCUUAUGGAAAUUUAUUGCCUUUUUAAACAUUAUGCAAGUGUUGUUCUUUAUAGAUUCUCUCAAAGAUCUUCUUGGGAAUCUUAAAGACUUUAAUCUCAAUUUGUCUCGGACGAGUUUUAACUGGUAAGCCAUCUAAAUUCACGAACUUUAGUUGGUAGUAUUUUAAAUUUAUUUGAAAGUUAUUUGUUAUAGUUUACAAAUUUACAGUAGGUUUGAUUCACCUUACCAAAUUCACCCCAAUACUGCAUGCAUGUGUUAAAACAAUACUAUUGCUUACAUUGGUGUAGGUUGAUUUUUGUUGUAAACCUAUUAAAAAAAUACUCUAUUGUUUUCUGUUUUGCGGGUCAACAAUUCUCAUCGAUGUCUAUCUUAUAAACAACCUUGCUCUUAAUGAAUAUAAUCAUUAAUUUUCUUCCAAUGAAUAAUUUUUUUAUUAAAUUUCUACCUUAUUAAUGAUGCUUUUAAUGAGUAUAUAUAUAUGUAUACGCUUUUUCAUUAGUAAAUACAUAUGCUUUUAAUGCGUAAAUACAUAUGUUUUAAUGAGUAUAUAUGCAUUUCAUGAGUAUAUAAAUACAGAUAGUUCCUUAUUUUUUUGCACAUUGCUCUCUCUCCCUUAAACAAACUCUGUCUCUCACCCUCCCUUCCUCCCUCUCUAUAUCUAUCUAUCUAUUUCCAUCGCGAAGAGAAAGGUGCAAAUUUCUUACUCCGAGUAGAUCCAUCCUUAUGGAAAUUUAUUGCCUUUUUAAACAUUAUGGAAUUGUUGUUCUUUAUAGAUUCUCUCAAAGAUCUUCUUGGAAUUUUAAAGACUUCAAUCUCAAUUUGUCUUGGACGAGUUUUAACUGGUAAGCCAUCUAAAUUUACGAACUUUAGUUGGGAGUAUUUUAAAUUUAUUUGAAAGUUAUUUGUUAUAGUUUACAAAUUUUACAGUAGGUUUGAUUCACCUUACCAAAUUCACCCCAAUACUGCAUGCAUGUGAUAAAACAAUACUAUUGCUUACAUUGUGUAGGUUGAUUUUUGUUGUAAACCUAUUAAAAAAUACUCUAUUGUUUUCUGUUUUGCGGGUCAACAAUUCUCAUGGAUGUCUAUCUUAUAAACAACCUUGCUCUUAAUGAAUAUAAUCAUUAAUUUUCUUCCAAGGAAUAUUUUUUAUUAAAUUUCUACCAUAUUAGUGAUGCGUUUAAUGAGUAUAUAUAUGUAUAUGCUUUUUCAUUAGUAAAUACAUAUGCUUUAAUGCGUAAAUACAUAUGUUUAAUGAGUAUAUAUGCAUUUCAUGAGUAUAUAUAUACAUAUAGUGCCUUAUUUUCUUGCACAUUGCUCUCUCUCCCUUACACAAACUCUGUCUCUCACCCUCCCUUCCUCCCUCUCUAUAUCUAUUUAUCUAUUUCCAUCGCGAAGAGAAAGGUGCAAAUUUCUUACUUCGAGUAGAUCCGUCCUUAUGGAAAUUUAUUGCCUUUUUAAACAUUAUGCAAGUGUUGUUCUUUAUAGAUUCUCUCAAAGAUCUUCUUGGGAAUUUUAAAGACUUCAAUCUAGAUUUGUCUCGGACGAGUUUUAACUGGUAAGCCAUCUAAAUUCAUGAACUUUAGUUGGGAGUAUUUUAAAUUUAUUUGAAAGUUAUUUGUUAUAGCUUACAAAUUUUACAGUAGUUUUGAUUCACCUUACCAAAUUCACCCCAAUACUUCAUGCAGGUGUUAAAACAAUACUAUUGCUUACAUUGUUUAGGUUGAUUUUUAUUGUAAACCUAUUAAGCAAUACUCUAUUGUUUUCUGUUUUGCGGGUCAACAAUUCUCAUGGAUGUCUAUCUUAUAAACAACCUUGCUCUUAAUGAAUAUAAUCAUUAAUUUUCUUCCAAGGAAUAUGUUUUUAUUAAAUUUAUACCUUAUUAAUGAUGCUUUUAAUGAGUAUAUAUAUGUAUAUGCUUUUUCAUUAGUAAAUACAUUUGCUUUGAAUGCGUAAAUACAUAUGUUUUAAUGAGUAUAUAUGCAUUUCAUGAGUAUAUAUAUACAGAUAGUUCCUUAUUUUCUUGCACAUUGCUCUCUCUCCCUUACACAAACUUUGUCUCUCACCCUCCCUUCCUUCCUCUCUAUAUCUAUCUAUCUAUUUCCAUCACGAAGAGAAAGGUGCAAAUUUCUUACCCCGAGUAGAUCCGUCCUUAUGGAAAUUUAUUGCCUUUUUAAACAUUAUGCAAGUGUUGUUCUUUAUAGAUUCUCUCAAAGAUCUUCUUGGGAAUUUUAAAGACUUCAAUCUCGAUUUGUCUCGGACGAGUUUUAACUGGUAAGCCAUCUCAAUUCACGAUCUUUAGUUGGGAGUAUUUUAAAUUUAUUUGAAAGUUAUUUGUUAUAGUUUACAAAUUAUAUAGUAGGUUUGAUUCACCUUACCAAAUUCACCCCAAUACUGCAUGCAUGUGUUAAAACAAUAAUAUUUCUUACAUUGUGUAGGUUGAUUUUUGUUGUAAACCUAUUAAAAAAUACUCUAUUAUUUUCUGUUUUGCGGGUCAAAAAUUCUCAUGGAUGUCUAUCUUAUAAACAACCUCGCUCUUAAUGAAUAUAAUCAUUAAUUUUCUUCCAAGGAAUAUUUUUUAUUAAAUUUCUACCUUAUUAAUGAUGCUUUUAAUGAGUAUAUAUAUAUAUAUAUAUAUAUGUAUAUGCUUUUUCAUUAGUAAAUACAUAUGCUUUUAAUGCGUACGUACAUAUGUUUUAAUGAGUAUAUAUGCAUUUCAUGAGUAUAUAUAUAUACAAAUAGUUCCUUAUUUUCUUGCACAUUGCUCUCUCUCCCUUACACAAAUUAUGUCUCUCACCCUCCCUUCCACCCUCUCUAUAUCUAUCUAUCUAUUUCCUUCGCGAAGAGAAAGGUGCAAAUUUCUUACUCCGAGUAGAUCCGUCCUUAUGGAAAUUUAUUGCCUUUUUAAACAUUAUGCAAGUGUUGUUCUUUAUAGAUUCUCUCAAAGAUCUUCUUGGGAAUCUUAAAUACUUCAAUCUCAAUUUGUCUCGGACGAGUUUUAACUGGUAAGCCAUCUAAAUUCACGAACUUUAGUUGGUAGUAUUUUAAAUUUAUUUGAAAGUUAUUUGUUAUAGUUUACAAAUUUUACAGUAGGUUUGAUUCACCUUACCAAAUUCACCCCAAUACUGCAUGCAUGUGUUUAAACAAUACUAUUACUUACAUUGUGUAGGUUGAUUUUUGUUGUAAACCUAUUAAAAAAUACUCUAUUGUUUUCUGCUUUGCGGGUCAACAAUUCUCAUCGAUGUCUAUCUUAUAAACAACCUUGCUCUUAAUGAAUAUAAUCAUUAAUUUUCUUUCAAUGAAUAUUUUUUUUAUUAAAUUUCUACCUUAUUAAUGAUGCUUUUAAUGAGUAUAUAUAUAUAUAUGUAUAUGCUUUUUCAUUAGUAAAUACAUAUGCUUUUAAUGCGUAAAUACAUAUGUUUUAAUGAGAAUAUAUGCAUUUCAUGAGUACAUAAAUACAGAUAGUUCCUUAUUUUUUUGCACAUUGGUCUCUCUCCCUUACACAAACUCUGUCUCUCACCCUCCCUUCCUCCCUCUCUAUAUCUAUCUAUCUAUUUCCAUCGCGAAGAGAAAGGUGCAAAUUUCUUACUCCGAGUAGAUCCAUCCUUAUGGAAAUUUAUUGCCUUUUUAAACAUUAUGGAAUUGUUGUUCUUUAUAGAUUCUCUCAAAGAUCUUCUUGGAAUUUUAAAGACUUCAAUCUCAAUUUGUCUUGGACGAGUUUUAACUGGUAAGCCAUCUAAAUUCACGAACUUUAGUUGGGAGUAUUUUAAAUUUAUUUGAACGUUAUUUGUUAUAGUUUACAAAUUUUACAGUAGGUUUGAUUCACCUUACCAAAUUCACCCCAAUACUGCAUGCAUGUGUUAAAACAAUAAUAUUGCUCACAUUGUGUAGGUUGAUUUUUGUUGUAAACCUAUUAAAAUAUACUCUAUUGUUUUCUGUUUUGCGGGUCAACAAUUCUCAUGGAUGGUUUCUAGUGUUUUGGUUGCAUUAUUUGUGCUAGAUCUUUAGAUGAUCUGAACUUAAUAGGAUACAAUCACAAAAAGAUAUUCCUAAAAAGAGAGUGGUCCGCACAAUCCAUUUACAAUAUCUAUCGAAUUGAGCAUUUAUAGUUCUUGAAUUUGGAUAUCUCAUAAAUUAAUACCUCCAAUAUAUAAAUUUCCCCGGUGAGAUUGUUAUCAUUAAUUUCUACUUAAAUAUUUCAAUAAUUAUAUGUCCAUCUUAUGAAUAAUAUUUUUAAAUGGAGUAUAAUAUUUAACAUUAUUCCAAAGAUUAUUUUAGUAAUUAAAUGUCUACCUAGUUUACCAUGAUUUUAAAGAGAAUAUUCCAUAAAUAUUUACUUCCUUAUUUACUUGAGGUAUCGACCAUACUAGCCCUUGGAUCAUGCAAAAUUCAUAGUUCAUGAGAAUCUAGGCGCACAAAAAGAAGUGUUUAGUUUAAUAUUCUAUAGUCCCAAAUGAAAUACCAAAACAAAAGUGAAGGGGCCAUUUGCUAGGGUAGCAAGAAAACAUUCACAUAUCGAUGCAUCAAAUAUACCAUAUGAUUUACAAUGGUGCCAUCAUUCCUGCAGGGGCCCAGUUCAUUCACGGGGAACACUUUUGACGAAGAAACUGCCAUAACUUGGGUACGUGGCUCUUAUCAUUGUAAUAUAUAGUACAACAUGCAAGUGUUAAGACAAUGAUAUUAUUUACAAUGUGUCAAUAGUUUUCCAUUUGUAAAUAAGUGGACCAAUUUGAAUACAUACCCGUCCUCAUGGCCGAGUUCCGGUGUUUUCAAUGAAUAGUUGAUGGUAGAUCUUAGAUGAUUGAAUUUAUUAAGACAUAUCCAUAAUAAAAUGCAUAAUGAGGAUGGUCCCCAAUAAUUCCUUUAAAAGAUCAAUGGAAAUUAAUAUAUAAGGAGAUGUCAUGAAGUGGUAUAUAAUUCAGGUGGAACAAUAAGAUGGAGGUCUUAUAUCAUGGUUAAUCUUCUUCACAAUUUGAAGUUACCAUAUUUUUCUAUUUGGAAGUUGAGAUGUUAUAUUUCUAGUGAUGAAAUGUCUUACAGAAAUUCAUGAACAUGUCCUUUAGUUCUUGCUUUUUCUCUAUUGAUGUGUAUAUUUUAAUUUUUUCAUUUCCACUUUGGGGCAUGAAACUAAGAUUUGGCCAUGUGUUUAGUUACAUGUAUCCCUAGCACUAUAUUCACAUAUUUUGUUAAGUACCUAAACUUAAGAUGGGUGCCUCGUGCACUUGGUGCGGGAUUGUAGUUGACUUAUUCCUAGUUGUUAUACUAUCUAACUGUAGGUGAAACUAUCAGAACCUUUGGCAGGGUGGCGAACGUGGCCGGAAGUAGCAGAUCGAAAAUCACAUGAGGAAGUUACGCAGGUUCGGGCCUCCCUUGAGGGGUAACACCCUACAUCGUAUUUUUAUUUUUGUAUUUAUGGUUGAGUGCCUCGUGCGAGGGUUAUAAUGGGGGGAUGAUCUGUGACUACUAAGAGUAUGUUUCUACAAGAGUAGAUGGCCUCGCUAACCCUCAUGACCGGUCUUAUACAGAUGACGAGGGCUAGGGUAUACAUGAAUCUAACCGACCUCCAACCGCCACCUUGCUUGGCUUGCACUCCUAGAUGAUAUUGAGCUCCUUCCAGGCCUCCAGGAUCCCUCCUUUCGCCAGGCUCCUUUUAGGCCAUGUGGACCCAUGGUGGGCUGCUGCCGAGCUUCCCUUAGGCAAGCCACCUCCAGUGAAUCGUAGUGUCUGUAGCUAUCGAGCUUGUUUAUAGUUGGAAUGUCUUAGUAUGUUGGGGGACGAGAACCCACAUGGGCUCCUAAUGUUUACAGAGAGCUAGCGUUUGCACAACUUUAGGCAUUCUUGGGGCUCUGCGGAUGCGCGACCUUCCAGUCCAAUCUUCAAAAUACUUGGGCUUAUCGUAAUGUCUCUAGGCAUGGUGAUCUCACAGGGCCUUCGGCCCAUAGCCUCCAGGUUCACAACCUUCGUCGCACCCGACUUGAAGUAGCGAGUCCCUUGUGUCCAUGGCCUGCCAGAACAUCCCUGCAUCAGAGAAGAGUCAAAAUUGGAGCACUCAGUUGGGCCGCUGAAGAGGCUCUCGACCACAGGCCAAGGCCCGAACUGUGUGACAGUGGUAGUUUUGCACCCGUCUCCCAAGCCAACGCUCCACGUGUUGCUUCUUGUUUUGGUGCAAUCUUCAGGAGUCAUGCCGAUGGUUCACAUCCUUACAUGGCAUUACAAACCGAUGGAGGUAAGCACAAAUAGCACAUCUCCUUCCUCCAAUUCUUAUAAUAUUCAUCCUCCAUUGCGGCGGAGAAGCACAGACCCAGGGUGGUCAGGAGUGUUUUGUCAUGGCUUGCCAUGUAGUCAUUGGACAGGGUCCCGGAGCCUUAGCAUUGGAAACUGGCCAUCCAUACUUCCUUCAUCCGCCGUAGCCUCUCCCUGCCUCGACACAGCUUUGUCCGAAGGAUUUUGACCUACUAUGAGUGCCAACUCCAUCAUCUCACCCCAAACAGGGUUUUACAUCUUGCCUCUUUCAUUACCCUAUGUGAGUGCUUUCUUGGAACAACCCUACAUUUUGGCCUUCCGGCGCUAUUUCUUUGAAGUGACACCUCACAAGGAGAAUGGCUAGACUCCAGAUUGUGGCAGAGCGGUCAUUCAACCUUGUCCAGGCUCUAGAUACUUCAAGCUACCAAUGUCACAGAUGAUAGAGUCAUGGCAAUGAGAUUGGUUUUAUGCUUUAGACCUCCCAAAGAUACAUAAGGAGAUGAGAUUGCAUGUUUUCACAAAUGAACCGCCACAAGAGCUACAAUCUUAGAGCUCGACGAACAUGCUCUCCAUGAAAAACACUAAGUUGGUGGAGGUGGUUUACCAGCUCAAGGACGUAGGGCUUACAGGUAUGUAGAUCUUGAAGACGUGGAUAGAGAGGAACAUCUUGCCACUGGCAUGAAAGGAGCACCCAAUGUAUGAGUACAGAGUUCGGAAUGACCCCUGUCGUCCCAACAGCCAGAAGGUCUCACAAUCUGAGUUGAAGUCGCACAUGUACUUUGUGAUCCACGUGCCCAUGGAUGAGAUCUUCCCAGAGGUCACGACAGAACCCUUUCAUUGGGGUAACUCUCCAAGCAAGGUCAGCGCAAUUUUCUUGCUUUACUACUUGACCACUUUCGGAUUGAUUGAUAUGUUACUUUUGCCUCAUGCCCAAACUUUCAAAGCCUAUUUUUUGGAGCCCCAUAGCCUUGCCGUGAGGUAUCAGCAGUGUUAGCAUGUAUGUCGCAACAGCAAUCUGCGCAGGCCAUGACACAUUUGAAGAAACCGCGAGAGGGACCGAAGAGGAUGAACACUUUGUCGUUGGCCACAAGAAACGAGGCGCCCCAAAGGGAGUCAUCAAUGGUCCAGUUGACCCAGACUAUCAUCCCAGUAGAGGUUCAAAAGUAGGCCGUGGUGACCCAUCCGGCGCAGCCUGUCAACACUCUAGAGCCUCGAUCGGAAUUCACAGUGGGCCCAUUGUUGCAUCAGAGACGUGCCCGUCGAUGUCGCCUUCUCAUGCAAUGAAUUCAUAGGCGUAGAUCCCUUUUUGUUCUCCCAUUUUGCGAAAAUGCCCCAACAUCGGAGCACAGAAACCGCCACCUGAGUAUGCACUUGUCAUUAUUUUAAGUCAUCUUCUCUUGUCCGGUGUCGUGAUGCUAAAGCAUUGUUGCUGGUCACCUCGACCAAAGAAUAAAUUGGCGAACCGGGAGCCUCCACAUGUGUUCAUUCCCUUGGUUAUUUUCCUUUUGUUUUGGGAGGUGGUCUCCCUUGUCAUGAUCCCCUUGGAGUUUGUUAACGGUCUUGCACAGGAGACUGCGGUCUCUACGGGGCAUAGAGAGCGCUCGCCUAUCAGGAGGCAUGAAAAGAGUCCGCCUAUGAUGGCGGUCACAAGUUCUCCUUCAGAGCUACCAAUGAAGCCAUGGGUCUAAGCACUAUGGAGGGGGGGGGGUCAUCAGAGCUAGAGACCCGUCCUGCAGGCAUACCAUCCUCCAGCCCUUCCUUCAUGCCUGAAGAGGAAGUUGACGGUCAUGUCAUUCUUGAGGAGAUGGAUGUCACUGUACGAGAGAGCAGCAAGCGCGCCCGAGCCUUAGGAAAUGCUUUCAAGAGACUUGGGCAAAGAUCUAUCCUAGAAUGGAGGUAAUACCUUAGAGUAGCGCUUCCUAUUCCCAUUAGACCCCGAUCCUUGUAGGUCUUGUUUGACCGUUAGCCCCAGACAUGAAUUUUUGACUUGUUUCGGUUCCGUAGGUACUGCGUCAGUGCAAGGACCGGCUUAAAGCUGAGGCCGAAGAGCUUUGACGGUUACUGGUUGAAGGGAGGUCCCAAACCGCUAUCUUGGAGGACUCCAUUGAUGAUCCUUCUAUCAGUAGAGUUGCCUAUGCUACCUUAUUAUGUGAUAAGCUUGCAGAUGACAUCAAUAUAUUCUAUUGUAUGAUGUAGCAGAAAAACAGUAUUAUGAGGCCUAGCAUGGAAAGAAGCGAAUGAUAUGCUCUAUCACUAAUGCCGAUCUCAAAGAGGCCCGUUUGUGUCUGGAGUAAUUUCCCAUGCCAAGUCUAUAGUGGAGUCCAAAAAAUAUAUUUCCAACCUCUGUGACCUUCUCAAAGAAAAGUGAUGUGCGGAGGGUGUGCUCCAGUAGUGCGUCAUGACGCUCAGAACCGACCUGGCUACUACAAAGGCUUGAAAGUGCACAUUAGUCAUUGCGGAAGCUGCUCCCUUACAUGAGGUCGGUCGACAAGCUUCCCUGGAGUUGGAGGAGCCGCAUGUAAGUGCGUGCUAAAAAUCUUGUUGAAGCUAUGAAAUGUUUGUAAGUUUCCUCCUGAUCAAUUUGUCUCAAGAAUUUUUAUGUUAGGGUAUUUUUAUUCCCUUUUGCGUGCUGGAGAUGGACAUCUUCUUUGGCAAGGAGAGUUUGAGUAUGGUUGUACCCUUGUGGCAGUAGUUGGAAAAGGCCCUUAUUCGGAUACUGGGGUCAAUGUGGGACCCGUGCAUGGUAGAAGUUUGCUUGUGGGCUAUAAUGGACCUUUUGAAGGAGCCCGGAUUGUCCUCGCACUGCUUAAGGCGCACCAUCCGGGUAUUUCCAUGAUGAUCGUCGCUACUUCGUUUCCCGAGGACUGCCAAGUUUUGGAGUUCUUCGAGUAAGUGAAGGAUCCAGCUAAGAUGGUGGCGGCAAAUUGCGACCUGGAUGUAGGCAUGGAGUAGCCUGAAAAGAUAGGAUGACCUUUGUGGCCUAUGUUACACGCAUAAAAAUUCAGUUUUAUGCAUUUUUAGCGCACUUGAAUUUAAUAUUAGUGUGAAACUUGCUUUGCUCCUGACCAAGCUUAUGAUAUUGCCUAAGGUUCUUUGUCUUUAUGUUUAUGUUAGGAGCCGGGAUGACCAAGAAUAUUUCUAGUAUCCGGCUUCCCGUGGUUAUGCCCUAUGGGAGGGGACCAUCGUUAUUUUCAGUGGUUAUGUCUUACGUCGAUGCAGCCAUGUGUCGGUGACACUAGGAGGUCGGUAAUGACAUAGUAGCCCCUGGGUUCGGACAAGUAGAGGGAAUGAACGAUGCAACCUCUGUGGUGGUCGUGGAGAGGUCCGCUAUGCACAAUAUGCAACCCCUGAUCCAGGCGAGCAGAGAGUUACAUUUGCUUCCACCUCUUGGUCUAUCCCAGGAUGUUCGUUGUUGAUUUAUCAAUUGAGAUAGUAGACCAAUACGGGAGAGUAGCAAUGAUUCCUUUCUUGACCAGUUUAUUUGGAUCGAGCCAAAACAUAUACGCUAAAAAACAUGAUCGCUGUCGGUGUCAAAACCGGCGGAUCUCGGGUAAAGGGUCCUGAACUGUGCGUCUAGGAUCGAUGGUAACAGGAGGUAGGGGACACGAUGUUUACCCAGGUUCGGGCCCUCUUGAUGGAGGUAAUACCCUACGUCAUGCUUGAUUGAUAUUGAUGAUAUGAGUAUUACAAGAGUUGAUCUACCACGAGAUCGUAGAGGCUAAAACCCUAGAAGCUAGCCUAUGGUAUGAUUGUUGUAUAUAUUGUAUAUCUAUCGACUAGCCUGGCCUCGGUUUAUAUAAUGCACCGGAGGCCUAGGAUAACAAGAGUCCUAGCCGAAUACACCGGUGGGGAGAAGUCCUUGUCUUGAUCGCCAAGUCUUGUGGAAUCUUCCUUGUAUGCGGUAGCCGUCCGAACUGGCCCAUGAGUAUACGGCCACGGGGGUCCUCGGCCCAAUCUAAUAGAUCGGGAGACGCCGUGGUGAGUACCCCCUAGUCCAGGACACCGUCAGUAGCCCCCUGAACCGGUCUUCAAGUUAGGGACGCUCCUCGAUUCUUCCGAACUGUUCUUCAUCUUCGGUUACUGGUCUUGAAAACUGGUUCAACAAAUCUUCUUUAUCUUCGAUCUUGAGGAUCGCUGAAAUGCAUUCGACGAGUUUACACGUCGGGUAUCCGAGGAGCCCCUUUAAGUUUCCGGCCUUUAUCAAUACCUUGUUUAUUUUUAUGCCACACCUCGGGUUUGAAGUUGUUCCCGUGAGGCAGGGUCCUCUUGCGUCCGAGCUCCAACGCCGGACUGCAUUCGAGGUAUCUUUUGCAGCCGAGCACCAACGCCGGACCGCUUCCCAGCUCUAGCGCCGGAAUGUAUCCGAGCUCCAACGCCGGACUAUGUAUCCAAGCUCCAACGCCGGACUGUAUAUCCGAGCUCCAACACCGAAAUAUAUCCGAGCUCCAACGCCGGACUGUGUCCAGGCUCCAAUGCCAGACUAUAUCCGAGGUGUCAUAUCACCUUGGUUCAAAAAAGUUGAAGGAGUUUAGCCGAGCUUAAUGCCAGAAAUGCCCUCUAUGGAGCCAGCCACUAGCGCCCGAGCUUUAUGCCGGACUGCUUCCGAGGUGGUGCACCACCCUGACUAUGGGCCAAUUUUUUGUCAAUAUUUUUUAUUGGUGCAAUUUAUUCUCUACCGAGAUAUAUAGCCAGUAGCCCUCAAGGUGUGUAUCGGUCUAAAACCCGAGAUGCACAUGAAGGAUGACAUAAGACCGCUGAUCCCAGUAGCCGCUGAGACUCAGGUUGAUUUGCAAAAUCAGCCUGAGGAUCAAGUCCUAGCUCGGCAGAAUACUUCGGGACACAAAAACGGCGUGCUCAGUCCUCAAGACUCAGGUUGGGUGCGGCCGACCAACCUGAGGAUCAAAAUCUCCUCGGAAACUAUAUUGCACAUAAAAUUUUCUGCAUUGGACAAGCAAUGCAGUAGCCCCCGAGACACUGGUCGGGUGGCAACACCAGAUCAGGGGAUCGAUGUGCCCCUUUAAUAUUUGUAAAUAAUAAGCCCGAAGCCAGUAGCCCCCGAGCCUUAAUGCGGGCACUGGUGGCCGAAUUAAGGAUCAAUAUCCAUAGUAAAAUCACAAAUUAUGUGUAAUGAUUCUAUGUAUCCAAGUACUUUAUGUCAUUAAUGCUCGGAUCCGCAUUGUACAAAACUUUGUUGACCGACCAUCGGCUUCCACCUCCUUGGCCAGUAGCCGAGGAGUGUUUGUCAUACUUUAUAAAGCCUUUAUGAGGGCAAAGAUUUACGACAAACAAGGCAAUCUGGCCACACGGUUUUAUAAACAAAGGUACGCAGAGAGAUAUGUUAUAUUACUGUUUAACAGAAGAAAUGUAUUCCAAAGAAAAUAGUCCCGCUAUCGGUUCCUUUCUUUGGGUUGUCAUGCUAAGCAUGAUCAUGAAACCUCAGCUCGAAUGUAAGAGCAAAAUAUCGAGGAUUUAGUUUGGGAGGCCAGUUAAUAGCCCCCGGUAGUGUUCGGCGACAGUCGAGGUCAAGCCGUAAACACUUCGGCCAAUGUUAUGAAUGGCCCGUCAUAGUCAUCGGAUCGCUGACCAGUUUACGCUUAUUGUGACAGUCAGUUUUCAGCUUUCUCCACUAAGGUGCUUAACCAUGUGAGCUGGAAGCACAAUCGCAGUGGUUCUCCCUUUGCACGCCUAGGCGAACAAAACGGAACGUAGGAAGCAAGUGCAGGAGCCGGGCAACCCAACUAUUGACCGAAGACACAAAUCGAAACCGAUGCAUAUAUAGCAAUAUCUGAGAAUGUUUUUGCCGAAUCCCUAAAGGUGUCCGGCGUUGCACUGCGAGACUAAUGCUGGAAAAGCACAAAUAGUUUAAAAGUGCCAAAAAGCUUGGAAAACCAAGAAACGUUAGUAAAAACAUGACGUCCGAACAAGAUCAAGUGUUCGGUGCCAAUCCGAAAAUUGGUCUUAGAAAAAAGAAGUGCUUCUGUCAUCCUUUAACAUGACACAUCCUAUCUCAAGACUUCGAGCGAGUCAGCCUACGGCUUCAACCUCCUAUCCCGAGGGCGGAGUACUUCUCAUUAGGCCAGUUUAGCAAACUAAACUCUAGCGGCUUUGAGAGAGAAAUUAGGCUCCCCGGCUAGUGACCACACACUCGCGUCGAAAAAAGGAGUGAUAAAUAAUAAUAAUAAUAAUAGAACUUUGCGACGACUGAGAAGAAGAACACUUAUUAUAAAACGGCUCAAAUAAACUUAAGAGCCCCCAAGUGACUUGGGUAGAAGAAUGAUUGCAUGUACCGAAGUACUUAUAUCAUAUCUAUGUUCAACCGAACUUUAAACGCGUCUUAACCGACCGUCGGCUUCUCCCUCUUCGGUUAAGGACCGAAAAGUGUUAUGUACUCCAUCGGUCGAGAAUAUCGACGGUGUUUCCAAUAACCAGGCAGUCAGGCCAUAAGGCUGUAACAGACAAAGCGCGCUCAGGGAACUUAUGCUAUAUUACUGCGAAAAGUAAGAAGCAUCUUCGAAGAAAAUAGUACCCCCACCGAUACCUUUCUUCGGUGCUCAUUGUUAUUAUGAGACUUGUGCAAUAGAUUUUUUAUACUCAUGAGUUCCGUUGUGUGCCGACCAUCAUUGAAUAACUAUAAGAGCGCUAGCUUUCGGCUUCACCCAGUCUGAGAUCCGGCUCGGGUGACCCGAUCAUGACAAUCGCAGAGGUGCUCCCUUUACUCCCUAGCCGAACAAUCGGGAACGUAGGGGUAAACACAGGAGCGAGGCAACCUAGCUUGCAAAUCGCUUAAGUCAACGUGGUGCAUAUUGUGGCGUAAUACACGAAUAAGGAACGAAGCCGUACAAGUAUAAUCAUAUGCAAUAGGAAAAGCUUCAUAAAGGAAGCCCCCAAGUAAACGGGGUAUUUGAAUUUAUGCGUCACAAACAAAGUUUGGACAAGGCAAUUUUUUAGAAGCAACUUUUUUCCAAAAAAAUAUAAUGCUUGGUCGAACCGAACGCAAGUUAGAAAUUAAAGCUUUGAGCAUGAAAGCGACUUAGCUGGUUAAUGUGUUCGGUAUUGCUGAUGCGGUCCGAGCUUGAUGUGGGGCAAGGUUCCAUCCCUCAAGCCGGUCCCGAGGUGGCGGAGCGGAGAGCUUGACACGCCGAAGUGGUGACAUAGCACGAUCAAUGCAGACCGGCAGAGUGACGCCGAAGUCCCCGGAUCAUUUUCCUGUGCACAAAAAUAGUGCAAACUGGAGAUAAUAGUAAUAAUGAUAAUUAAAAAAAACGUUGCAUAAUAAAUAAUUUAUGCAAGGUGAGUAAUAAAAGAAAUAUGGCCUGGCGCCGAAGUCAAGUUGAUGCAGGGCGUCGGCGUGAUACGGUAAAGGCGUGGCAAAGCCUGAAUUCGCAGGUCGGUCCGAGCUUCGAGUGCGGCGUUCGCCGGACUAUGUACGGAAACUGACCGAACCACCAUGCGACUGUCAUUAAUGCAGCCACCAUUUGAUAGACCCGUGUACAUAUGACGGACAAACCAGAGUAAUAAUUCCUUGGGAAAAAUGAACCCAAAUAAGCAAAAAAUACUGAGAUUAAUAACACCUGGUUUAUUUGUUGUAGCAAUCCGAAGGAAGGUGAUUCCUAAAAUUGGGACCUGCUCCGCACACCCAUUGCCUGACGAGCGAUAAAACGACGGCAUGGCAAUGCUGGUAAAGGUUGACUCGCCGAGGGAAAGCCCUCGGCCCAGCUAACGUGACGGAGCUGGUCGGCUGGUGACGCCGAAGUGUCCGGAGUAGGUUGAUGAAGAGAUGGCGAAGCCCCCGGUCCAGCCGAGAUGUCGAAGCCUCGAUGUCAGCCGAUGAGUCGAAGUAGGUCGUCAUGAUGGACACCAGCUUGAAGAAGCAAUAGUGCGGCCCUGUCGAUGCAGGUCGUGACGUGGUCGAUGCCGGCUUGAUGAAGCGACCGUGCGGCGAUGCCGGUAUGCCCACUCCGUGUAAUCCGUGGGGCGGCGAUGUUGGUGAUGAUUUAUCCUUCGCGAUGCCGUGCUCUUGUUCGGCUUGCCGAGAUGAUGAUCCAAAGAAGUUGAGCUCGGCUCAACAAAGUGACGCCGUAUCUAGCGCAGGUCGACAGCCGUGGAGUAAUAUUGCCGGACUGGUUUGACACCAGCAUGAUGUUGAAGAUCAUGUUCAAAAGAUCUUACAGUUAGUGAGAUGUGUUCGGGAACAAAACACAAUACCCCAUACAAAACUUCCUUCAAAAGGGAUGUCCGAAAUCCUGUUCAUAAAAAAGAUGAACUCGGGUCAGAUUCGUUUUCGCGCAGAAAACAGAUCCGAAAAGUGAUGCACUAAUCGGAAGGUUCCCGGAGUUUGGACGGUCGGAUCGAGCCGAAAUUUUGAGAGGUGGUAGAUAUAGGAAUUCCGCAGCGGAUCAACGGUUGGAUCUUCCAAAGGACGUCCGAGAUAGAAGCUGGACACCACGCCCUAAAUUCAUCCAAAUUCCUGUCCAGAUUUGACAGGGCUCCGGUAUAUCGUGGAUUGCCAGAGAUUCCUCCAUCGGAACUCGACGAAAUUUUCCAGGAUUGUUGUAGACUCAAUUCCGCACAAUUCCACCAAAGCGAUCGUCAAAGCGAUACUCGAGGAGGUGGUGGUGGUAGAUACGAGUUUGCUGUCCAGAAAAACAGCACAGUCGCUUGAGGGCAAUGUUGACGUUGAGCCCCCGAGCUCCAUAGAUGAUUCCUCCGUGAUCUUGAUAGAGAUCGGAGUUGAUGUUUGAUGAAGGCCCUCAUCCGGACAUGGUGAUCCGAACACGGGGCGCAGUUCUUGGUCGAACCGAGGUGACCAGUCGAGCUGGUGACGAAGAUGCCAAAGUCGCAGUUGAUCUGCAGGCGAGCUAUCGAUCCUUUUGUCGAUCACACAGCAGAACUCUCAAUGAAAGCACCAAUGUCGGUGUCAAUACCUGCGGAUCUCGGGUAAGGGGUCCCGAACUGUGCGUCUAGGAUCGAUGGUAACAGGAGGCAGGGGACACGAUGUUUACCCAGGUUUGGGCCCUCUUGAUGGAGGUAAUACUCUACGUCCUGCUUGAUUGAUAUUGAUGAUAUGAGUAUUACAAGAGUUGAUUUACCACGAGAUCGUAGAGGCUAAACCCUAGAAGCUAGCCUAUGAUAUGAUUGUUGUAUAUAUUGUAUAUCUAUCGACUAGCCUGACCUCGGUUUAUAUAAUGCACCGGAGGCCUAGGAUAACAAGAGUCCUAGCCGAAUACGCCGGUGGGGAGAAGUCCUUGUCUUGAUCGCCAAGUCUUGUGGAAUCUUCCUUGUAUGCGGUAGCCGUCCGAACUGGCCCAUGAGUAUACGGUCACGGGGGUCCUCGGCCCAAUCUAAUAGAUCGGGAGACGACGUGGUGAGUACCCCCUAGUCCAGGACACCGUCAAUCGCUAAAGGCAACUUCUGCAUAAAAGAGACAUAGCUCAGCAACAUUCUAGGCACGCAUUGUAACCCGACCUUUCUUGCGAUUGCGAUGGUAGUAGGCCCUAUUGCUGUGGGCUUCAUGAAUGAUGUAGGUUCCCUUCCAUGGGGAUGAGAACUUGUUCUUCCAUGACUUCUGCUCGAGGUGGAGAUAAUGUUGCUGUUGUUGAACUCACGAGCCUGGACAAGUCGCCUUGGUACUAGCACAACUUCUAAUGGUAGACGGUUAUGUGCUCGAAGGAAAUGAGCCUGGUUCUUCUUUGGCAUUGAUGUUGUCCUUCCUAGAUUCUUCUGUGGCAUCCUCGUCGUGCACGCAAUGGACGAGGAGUUGUACACUAUAUCAGAAGGUACUACGACCUCUGCCCCAUUUACCAUAAAGAAAGGUGUGUAGCUGAUGGAGUGGCUUGGCAUCAUUAAGAGGCUCCAGAGAAAGAAUGGGAGCUCGUCAACCCACUUUCCUUUUGCUUGCAUCAGAAGGGUGAUGAGCCAAGGCUUCAGACCUUGCAUGAUUAGCCAGUUGGCUCGCUCUACCUGUCUGUUGGACUGCAGGUGUGAGAUUGAGUACUAAUCUAUUUGGCUUCUCCAAUUUUGGAAGAAUCCCUCGAAUGUGUCUGCUGUGAAGUCCGUGCCAUUGUCAGUAAUGAUAUUUUGGGGCACGCUCAAUCUAUGUGUAAUGCUAGAGAUGAACUUGGUCGUUGUGUCGGCCUCAACAUUCAUAAUGGUCUUGGCCCCUAUCCACUUUGUCAAUUUGUCAGUGGUGACUAGAAGGAACUUGAAGCUGCCUGGAAUUGUCGCGAGGGGCCCCACCCUAUGCAGCCCCCAUAUAGAGAAUGGCCAUAUCAGAGGUAUUGUUUUGCGGGCGGUGGUCUGCAUGUGUGACUUCUGUGAGUUGUUGACAGCCGACACACCUACGGACGAUCUCUUUAGUGUCACAGGAGGCGUGAGGCUAGAAGAAGCCAUGCCCACCAAUGUUCAUGGGGUUGCGCGAUGACCGCAUGCCCUCGCAUGAAUUUUUUGCAAGAGCUAGCGACCUUCUUCGCCGGGGCAUGGCUGACUAACAUGAUGAUGUUGGGUUGGAAGUAGUGGAGCAACUUGCGGUCUGACAUGAACAUGUAGUACAUGAUUUUCUGGUAGUGUGGGUACUGAUUCUUGCAUGGUGUCAGCACUUCACUGACAUAGUAGACUGAGUGCUAAACCCGCUAUGCCUUACCUUGCUCCUCUCUUUCCAUAGCCAUGACCGCGGUGACAACCUGGGUAGUGGCAGAUAUUAAAUGGCGAGAAUGGCUCUGACUGUGCCAUGGUUGCCAACUGUGGGUUGUAUUGUAGGAGUUUCUUGAGGUGUUCAAAUUUGGCCUUUGCUUAUUCUCUCUAGUAGAACUUGUCAGUUUUUUGCUCUAGGUGGUAUUGUUACUAGCAUCCUAAACUAGUGUAAGAUUUUAGAGCACACAUCUCUUGGCCUCUCUUGACCAUUUCCCCACAUAGUCUUGAUUUUUUGAUUUCAAGUAGUGGCGACGCAUCUGAUCACAUGCAUGGGCAUCCAAGAAACAAUGAUUUCAAUGUCAAGCUAGUGAGGACCGAGAUUUGGUCGGCAAAUCUUCAAUGCUAAGUGCCCUUUUACCCAAAUGUGCCCUUCACAGAAUCCAUAUUUGUUCCAUUGUAGUCUACCUUGUCAUUGGCUUCAUCAUGGCUAGUAUGAAAGCAUAAUUAUUAUUUUUGCUAUCUUACAAAAGGUAAAACUUUUAUGUAUGGAGAAUGUGAGAGUAAAGAGGUGAGCCUGGUAAGCUAAUGGUGGCGAUGUGUAGUUCAAGGGUUCCGUUGCCAUGACAAUAUAAGGGUAAGAUGACAAUGGUGGUUUUAGUGGGGUAAUGGUGGUUUGGGUCUAACUUACUAUAACAUGUGGAAGAUACCACCAAUUACACGAAGAACAUCAUAGAAAUGAUUUGAUACCCAGACCCCGAGUUGUAAUAUUUAGUUUAAUGCUUUUGAUGUCGAUGACGAGUUCGGCACCAAUGUUUAGAUCAUGAAAAUGAUCAUGUAGAGAUAAUAGAAAGGGGGUUUAGAAUCCAAGAGGAUUGCAUAGGAGACUAAGAAUAUGGUACUCUUACAUGAGUUCAGGACCACGAGACGGCUAAUAGCCCUAUUUAUUGCUAGUGUAUAAUGAUAUCCAGAUGUGUUUAAAAUAAGUGCAGGGGAUAUAUUUGAACUACCGACAAGAUCUUACAUUACUGAUUAAUUGAAAUGGUCUCUUCUUUUGGCAUGGGGCUCUAGGUCCUUAUAUAGUGACACCUUCUCCGCUGGCAAGUGUUCAAUCUUCAAUAUGGUAUCACCAUGGUCACUAACUAGGAAAAAUCUCCUAGAUAAGUUAGGAUCAUGUAUUCCCUAAACCUUCAUCCUUUUUCCUCCGAGUGCCUACCUACCAUGACUACUUGCGAUCCUGAGAGACCCCAGGAAUUCCUAUGUUAUGAUCCUUUUCCUCAUACAUUAUACCUCCUUAGUAGUCAUUCGCCGCUUUAUGAACACCCGAGUAUGACAUCAAUCAUGUAAACAUCUAUCAUCAACCAAUCGUUAUUUGAGAAAGAUUGGCAACCCCAUUUCAAUGUCUUCUGUUUCCAUCUAAACAUUCAAAUGAUGUUGGAGAAGAUCACACAUCUACCGACUAGUUAGAAAGCUCUGAUGCUCUCCAAUGACAAGGAGUCAUAUUUGAAAAACACCCAUGUUAUCAGCCAUAGUUAUAAAUGAUCUAGGUGAACCUCUAUCCAUGGUUAAUUAAGUACUAUCGACACCUCUCAUAGGGGAUUUUGGUGCAAAAUAGGGCAUGAUGGCAAGGGCGAGUGGUCUCUAGUUACCUAGGAUACAAUCAUUAAGAAAUCUUGGCCUCCACAAUCCGACAUUUCAUAAUGAUUCCAAGUGUAUCAAAUGCCUUCGGCUACAAUGCUCAAGAGAGGAAUGGAAAACCAAGGUUUCAAUUUAUGCUUCUAAGCUAUUUUAAGUUAUUUUACAUACUUGUUAAGUUCUUCUUAGGAAAGGGAAAAUGAAUUCUUGUAUGGAAAGAUUGUUAGCCAGAUUCCAUAAAUGUGUUGAGUCCAAUGUGUCCAUGUCAUGGUUGAUUAAGCAGUUAUUCAAAGAGUAAUCAAUUACUACUAUGUUGUAGAGUAACACACACACACACACACACACACACACACACACACACAUUACUCAUCCUUGGGAAAGUUGUCCAUCCCAACUAUCAAAUAUUUCUUGCUAUUUUAGAUCUCACUACAUAAUAGGCAUCCCAAAGUGGACAUGUAAGAUGUGAUGAUAUAUAAGUGGAUAUAGAAGAUAUGAUGCUAUAUAAGUGGACCUAAAAUGGUUCAUUAAGCUCAUGAUAGUGCCAUGCCUUCAUUGUGGUACCACAUAAGUAGCGAGGAGCAAUCCUUAUCUGAAAAAACUAGGCACCAUCGAGGCACUAUUCUUCAUGUGGUUCACCUGAAAGGACCCUUGUUGGAUACUUGACUGUCCUGAUGAGAGUAUGGUUUUCCAACUGAAGGGCAUUCUACAAUUGGUGAAGAGCAUCUUGAGACUUCAGAUAUUUGCAUGUGAGUUCUGGUUCAAUGGCUUGAGGGAAUUGAGGGCUAAUUGGCCUUCUCAAAGACAAUGUUGUGAUAUACUCCCUGUAGUGCUGCCUCAACGAGUGCGUUCCAAUGGAGGAAGGCAGGACUUCAACUUGACAGUCUCAUUUAUGCUUCACUACAUAUGGCUUGACUACAAUGCCGUGUCAUCGGUGAUAAAAUGAUAUCAUAACAACUGAGUGGUUAAGCAUUUCUAGGCUAACUUCUUCCUACAGAGAGCUAAACAACAUCGUGGUAUUUCAGAGGAUGUAGGCCCUUUCUUGUAUUUCUAUGGAGUUCAGUAUGUGUGGCAUUUGUGCCCACAUUAACACCACCCUCUUGUAAUAUAUUUCUCUGUAUCUUAAUAUAAUGAUUUGUAGAUCUUGGUGUUUUUGAAAUAAUGUGGAUCUAUAUCCAAAAGGGCUUGCAAAAAAUGUAGCUAACUAUAUACGGCUUAACU
rnacentral:lncRNA from 1 species